UGUGAAUUCCUAAAUGCAGAACUUUGAGCAUUGUUUGUUAUUAUGUGGCACAGAAGUAUUCCCUUGUAACUGCUGAGAUGGAAAAGGACCUGAUACAAAACCAUUUGGGUUCCCGGCUGCCGGAUUUGGGGCAAUCGGUGGCCUGACUUGAUUUCCAGGCACAACACAAACUGAGAAUUUCCAGAAAACGUUGGAUUUUGAGGGACCAUAGGAUGAGGAGGCAGUUGGUUAGGAGGGAAAGCCAAACAUAGGUUGUUGUUAAACAUGAUGCAUGCCAUAUGGUCUCUGCAUUUGCAUAGGUAACUGUUGG
rnacentral:lncRNA from 1 species